UAUUACAAGUUGAAAAUUAAUGAAAAUUAACACAAGUUAAUCUUGAUUAAAAGAUUAACAGAAGUUCAAUUUUUCCCCCUCUUUCUCUUCAUUCUUUUCCCUCUUCCGUCAACAGUUUAUUCCGUUUUUCUCCCCAAUUUGAUUGGGCGAAAAACCCUAAGAAGAAUCUGACGAUCCUUGAUUCCAUCCCACCGGAUUCCAUCCAGACGCUCCUUGAUAGCUACGUUGCUGUCUUCUCCAGAUUUUAUCAGAAUCUAUCCUUAUGUUACAUAGAUGCUGAAAUCCUGAUCUAGCCACUUCUAGGUGAAUCCAUUUCAUAUUUCUGAUAGCGCACAGGUCUAAUCACGGUCCGACUUGAUUUAUUGUAGGUUGUAACCGGUUCAACUUCCUCCAACGAGACUAGACCAUCGCCCUUCCUCAAAUGAUCAUCUAGGGUUUUCUUUUUUAGUUCCGACAAUGCUUUGAUGUCAUAUUGUAAAUCGUUUAAUGGAUGUGAUUGAAAAAAAUCGACAAGAACAAGGUAGUUCAGGAACCCGAUACAAGAAAACACACUAUUUGUGAUGUAGUUGGUCGUUUAU
rnacentral:lncRNA from 1 species